rnacentral:tRNA from 1 species
GCCCGGGUAGCUCAGUCGGUAGAGCAGGGGACUGAAAAUCCCCGUGUCGGCGGUUCGAUUCCGUCCCCGGGCA